CUGUGCUUAUCUCCAAGCCUGCAAGGCACCUUCCAGAAACCUCCGCUUGCCUUGGCCAGCUUGCCUUGGCCGGCUCACCCAGCGGUCUGUAGGCUGCUUGAGGGCGGGGGCUGGCGGGAGACAUCCUCGGAGCCCCCUGGGCCGUCUCACCGGAAGCCACAGACCCUGCCUGUACUUACCGAACAGGACCAGAAGAAGGUUUUGUCUCCUUUGUCAAACCCGAUUGAUUUGAAGUGGCUGUUUGGAGCUCGCUGUGGAGCAGGAAUUGGAAUGGCAUCUCAGCUGACCGCGGGGGUCCUGAAGAGGCGCUGUUGGUCCGCCCAGGGUCCAGCUCCAUGUUGAGCAGAGAGAGACAGGUUGGACCAUCAACCUUCUUUCUCCCUCCAACGUGCCCGCCCGCUUCUCGUCCCGCUCGGCCCCCUGCACGGGUCCAAAUCUGCCGCCAGGCAUUUUAAUUUUUAAGGGUGGACUUUCAUGAGUGGGAGCCCUCAAGCAUCUUUAAACAGCUCUGAGCAGGACCCAGCUCUGCCAGCCUUUGAGGACACAAGGCUCCAUAAGACACAGAUGUGUGUGUUUCCAGUGAAGGAGGCAGGCAUCGAAAGGAAAACUGGUGAUAUCAAGUGAUAAAUGCUAAACAGCCCGUGAAGGGACCCAGAGGAAGUGCUAAUUACCUGUCUAGGAGCAGAAGAGACACAGGAAUGAGAGCAAGAAAAGGAAAGUAAAAAAACGUGUUCCUGUCAUCUCCACUCUGCACCAGGACGUCCUUCCUCCCGAGCUGUCUCCCUCCCACUGCGCCCGAGGUAGCCCCCGCCUCCCCUGUCCUCAUUCCUCUCCCCAAACCGCAGCCACGAGCGGUUCAUGAGUCCGGGGGUGGUGCUUCUGUGUUUCCGGCCGAAGGAAGGUCAGUCUGCCUGUCUCACCCCAUCUUCUACACAUUGCUACUUGGCUGAGGACAGCUUCCAGACCAGACUGGCCAGGGCCCUGCAUUUCCCCCGCUCAAAGCAAAGUACUAGGCUUAAGACACAGUCCCUGGAUCUCUUGGAAUCUGCUUGAAGUUGCAAGAUCCCUGAUGUUUGGAACAGCUGCCUAUCUCUCAACGGGGAUAAAUGUUAAGUUUCCACACUUGGGGCCAAACACCAAUUGUACAAUUUGCAGUUCGGGGGAGAUGUGGCCUACCAGCAGCUUGUGUGGAAGAGGACUGAGGAGGUUUUGUUAAUAACGUACGCGGUCUGAGUCAACGGCGGCCACUGAAAAGGCUAACGCCAAAUCAGGCCGCGUCAACGGGUAUUUUAUGGCCACAGGAAGGAGAGGAGGCCCUGAAGCCACGGUCACUGCAAAGCUGCAACAGGUCUGGAGAGAGAGAGACUGGAGUAGGUUCAGAAACAAAGUGAACAGGACAGAGCAGGCAGCUCUUCGAGGUAGAAUUUGACAUCACGAAGGGCCAAGCCCCAAGCAGUCAAUGGACCAGAUGUGGCUGGCUAGGGAAAUGAAUUUGGACCCGAUAUAAACUUAACACUUGGACCAGAUAAGCUUGAAGGUCACUUCCACCUUUAAAAGUCCGUAGUUUGGGGUGUCUCUCCUAAAGCCCGAUUACGUCCUUUCCACAACCGCUCAGAACACAAUAUUUCUGACGAGAGGGACAAUAUGUCUGGUUCUUCAUAAAGAGCUUCUGGACAGUGGCUUUGUGGCAUCUUCUGUCAUCCGAAAGGUGAAAUGAUAGCAUUUGAGUUGAAAAUGAAAAACCAUGUGGCAUGGUCAGGAGAACCUGUCAGGGGGAAAGCUGCCUGUCUACCUACCCACCAUGUCACUGAGCUGGCCCAGGCCAGAGUGAAAUGAUAAUGGGUCUGGGGCGGGAUUCAUUGAGCGAGGUAAAAUAAAGCAUAAAAGAGAAAACCCCAAAUAAACAAGGUAUAUCUUUAAUGUUUUGGACACUUAGCUACCUCAGCGUCUACACCUGGACACAUUCUGCAAAACAUGUGAUGAGGAGCUGUUCUACAGCCCACCCCAUUGUCCACCAUCAGUCUAGUCUGGUUGCACAGACUUCAGACGGCGAAGGCCUCUCAGACCAUUGCAUAUGGCGCCUUCGUCGCAGAGAGGAAGUACAGUCGCACAGGGAGGUGAACGUGGCCCAGCUGAGCUGGGAAAUGGAAGUGAGGUCCCUGGAUUCCUGACCCCCAUGUGCCUUCACCUUUCCUCGCUCCCCCCACACAGCGAGCACGGCACUCAUCCAUCAGUGAAGUAAAUGGCAUCUGUUAAUCACAUGUAUGUGCCGGGCUUUGCGCUACAGCUUGUAAUGUGAUUAUAAGACACAGUCUCCAUUGUGAAGGUACCCAGGAGCCCAAGAGCUGGGGAAAGACGUUCCUACCGAACAUUUGUGAGUGAUCUGUACCCAUCACGCUGCCUGCCUUCCAGAGAUGCAAAGACCAUUUGAGGGAUUUGGGUCCCGGGUCAGGUGGGACCCCACACACUUUCAGGAUAUUCUCUAAAAGGAAUAUUCUUACCACUAGUUAAACAUAUUUCAUGCACUCAAGACCUUUAGCGAAAGCAAAAUUCGGUUGGGCAUUUAAAACUAUUCCCUAUGAUUGUAUUUGCCCGACUCCAUUUUUUUUCCUUGCCUGACUUCUAUUUUAUACAUUAUCCUAAGGAUACUUGUAAUCCAUAUUAUUUUCCCACAGUCUGCCCCGGGGGUGGCAGAGAGGACAAAGGACAGGUGUGGGGGGCAUGCCACUAGCCAUCUGGGCAACAUCAGAGAAAUCUCCCAGCCCUACUAAGCCCCAAAGAUUCGUCAGAAACAGUGGCUAAAACUGUGUUCUGCGUACCCCACAGGUUUGUUGUAAAGAGCAAGCAAAAUCGUGUAGGGUGAAAGUAUCCUGGAAAGUCUAAAGCAGCAUUCAGAUGUAAAGUAUUAAACUCUCUGCCCUUUUCCCUUGUUUCCCUGAAGUCACAUUCAGUGUUUGGCUUGGGUCUGCUGGCAGAAAACACUUACAAUGGCGAAUGGGGUCAAGGCUUCCGAGCACAUCCGAACAAGAGCUGCCAACACUAUUUCUUUAAAAAUGAGGAAGUGGUCCUGUCCUUGGAGAAGGGAAUAGGGAGCGCUCGCAAUGUGGCAUCCCGCCUGCUCCCAGUUCACUGUGCCAAAGCGCCUGGCAAGUCCAAUCUAGUUCCCUUCGGCCCAGGGAUUGAGGGGGCCCCCAGAGAAUCCCGCGGAACUGACCGUGCGUGGGGGGACUUACUCUGUGCUAUUUUCCUCACCUGUGAUAUUGGGAUAACCAUUGUCUCCCCCCCCUCCCCCCAUAGGGGCUGCUGUAAAGAUUCAACGAGUUAACUGUGCGACCAAACCCGGCACGAAAUAAAAUGUUCGAUAAAUGUUAGCCUGCGUUAUGAUGUAUUUAUGGAGUAUCCACUUGGGGCCGGGCGCCGUGCUGACCUCCUGGACUCCACACACGGUUAAGACCCCGUUGCUGCUC